rnacentral:rRNA from 1 species
CUUGUGGGUGGAUUAGUGGCGAACGGGUGAGUAACACGUGAGUAACCUGCCCUUAACUCUGGGAUAAGCCUGGGAAACUGGGUCUAAUACCGGAUAUGACUCCUCAUCGCAUGGUGGGGGGUGGAAAGCUUUAUUGUGGUUUUGGAUGGACUCGCGGCCUAUCAGCUUGUUGGUGAGGUAAUGGCUCACCAAGGCGACGACGGGUAGCCGGCCUGAGAGGGUGACCGGCCACACUGGGACUGAGACACGGCCCAGACUCCUACGGGAGGCAGCAGUGGGGAAUAUUGCACAAUGGGCGAAAGCCUGAUGCAGCGACGCCGCGUGAGGGAUGACGGCCUUCGGGUUGUAAACCUCUUUCAGUAGGGAAGAAGCGAAAGUGACGGUACCUGCAGAAGAAGCGCCGGCUAACUACGUGCCAGCAGCCGCGGUAAUACGUAGGGCGCAAGCGUUAUCCGGAAUUAUUGGGCGUAAAGAGCUCGUAGGCGGUUUGUCGCGUCUGCCGUGAAAGUCCGGGGCUCAACUCCGGAUCUGCGGUGGGUACGGGCAGACUAGAGUGAUGUAGGGGAGACUGGAAUUCCUGGUGUAGCGGUGAAAUGCGCAGAUAUCAGGAGGAACACCGAUGGCGAAGGCAGGUCUCUGGGCAUUAACUGACGCUGAGGAGCGAAAGCAUGGGGAGCGAACAGGAUUAGAUACCNCUGGUAGUCCAUGCCGU